rnacentral:rRNA from 1 species
GGACUACUGGGGUAUCUAAUCCCGUUUGCUCCCCUAGCUUUCGAGCAUCAGCGUCAGUAGCAGGCCAGGUGGGCGCCUUCGCCACCGGUGUUCCUCCUGAUAUCUACGCAUUUCACCGCUACACCAGGAAUUCCCCCACCCUCUCCUGUACUCAAGCUCAGCAGUAUGGGAUGCAGGUCCCGGGGUGAGCCCGGGCAUUUCACAUCCCACUUACCGAACCGCCUACACUCCCUUUACGCCCAGUGAUUCCGAACAACGCUUGCUCCCCCCGUAUUACCGCGGCUGCUGGCAC